AACUGCAGGGCCAGCUGGAGUAUGAACGACUACGUAGAGAAAAAUUAGAAUGUCAGCUUGAUGAAUAUCGAGCAGAAGUUGAUCAACUCAGGGAAACACUGGAAAAAAUUCAAGUCCCAAACUUUGUGGCUAUGGAAGACAGCGCUUCUUGUGAGUCAAACAAAGAGAAGAGGCGAGUAAAAAAAAAGGUUUCUUCUGGAGGGGUGUUUGUGAGAAGAUUUACAAUUGGGCAAGUCACUUUACCUAGGGCAGAGUGGAUAAGGGGAUGAAGAGUGACGACAGUGUUAUGCUGCUGGAGCUUCCUUCACAUGGAGGAAAGACGCAUUCCCUCUUAAUAUUUUAGAAUAUUUUAAAUCUUAACAAACCAAUAAUUUACUUGUUUAAUGUCUCUCUCCUUAAGAUUGUCAAUUCAAUGAGAAUGAAACCAUGUUCAUCUCUGUGCACACAGGGACUAGCAUGCUGUUUGGCAUAUAGCAGGCAGUCAUAUUGGUUAACUGAACAAAUGCAGUAUACUUUGUUACAGUGGACUUUAAUAUAUAUGGUAACUUAUUAAUUGACCCAGUGGAAAUUAAUCUAUAAUAUACUAAGAACUCUCUUAGGCAAUAGAGAUAAAAAUGAAUCAGAAUGUAACAGGAUAAUGUCAAGGUUUUUCUUUUGAAAACAAACCAGCAGUUAGAUUUUUGAGGAAAAUAUAGUUGGAAAGCCUGACUCUCACUCACUGGACCAUAUGGACCAAUCUCUUGACUGCUCUAUACUGCAGAUUCCCUGUUUAUAGCUAAACAAAUGACAAGGCUAUUUUGAAUAAUGAUUGUCAAACUUUUAUAGCUAUUACCAAGGCAUUAUGAACUCAAAAUGU
rnacentral:sRNA from 1 species